rnacentral:rRNA from 1 species
GACGAACGCUGGCGGCGUGCUUAACACAUGCCAGUCGAACGGAAAGGCCCUGCUUUUGUGGGGUGCUCGAGUGGCGAACGGGUGAGUAACACGUGAGUAACCUGCCCUUGACUUUGGGAUAACUUCAGGAAACUGGGGCUAAUACCGGAUAGGAGCUCCUGCUGCAUGGUGGGGGUUGGAAAGUUUCGGCGGUUGUGGAUGGACUCGCGGCUUAUCAGCUUGUUGGUGGGGUAGGGGCUUACCAAGGCUUUGACGGGUAGCCGGCCUGAGAGGGGGGCCGGCGACAUUGGGACUGAGAUACGGCCCAGACUCCUACGGGAGGCAGCAGUGGGGAAUAUUGCAGAAUGGGCGGAAGCCUGAUGCAGCAACGCCGCGUGCGGGAUGACGGCCUUCGGGUUGUAAACCGCUUUCGCCUGUGACGAAGCGUGAGUGACGGUAAUGGGUAAAGAAGCACCGGCUAACUACGUG